AGGGAAACUUGAGCUAAUACCGGAUACGCCCUUAGGGGGAAAGAUUUAUUGCCGAAGGAUUGGCCCGCGUCCGAUUAGCUAGUUGGUGAGGUAAUGGCUCACCAAGGCGACGAUCGGUAGCUGGUCUGAGAGGAUGAUCAGCCACACUGGGACUGAGACACGGCCCAGACUCCUACGGGAGGCAGCAGUGGGGAAUAUUGGACAAUGGGCGCAAGCCUGAUCCAGCCAUGCCGCGUGAGUGAUGAAGGCCCUAGGGUWGUAAAGCUCUUUCGCCAGGGACGAUAAUGACGGCACCUGGAUAAGAAGCCCCGGCUAACUUC
rnacentral:rRNA from 1 species